rnacentral:lncRNA from 1 species
UUUUUCAGUUUAGUUGUGUAAGUUGUGUGUAUUAAGUAAUAAUUUUUAUUAUCCUUAUUAUGUUUGUUAUAUGUUUUUUAUUUUUCAACUUGUUGUUUUUACAGGACUUUUAAAACAAAUACAUGAAGAUAUGUAAAAAUAACUAUAAAAUGGGUGACAAUUCUAAGUAUUUGGCUUAAUGAGUUUUAAACGAAUUUAUGUAUUUCUCAUAAGAAGAUACUAGCAUUGGCCUGUUGACAUUUGGCAUGUAAGCUAUUUUCAUAAGACAAGAGGAGUGACCAGAUGGAGAUGUUGUAGCCGUCUUUGUCUCUGUCGGGAUUGUCUCUUGUAUCUCCUGGUACGGUUGUGUUUGUUUCUCUUUUAUUUGAUGGGUAAUAUGUAAACAAAAGUCAUUGUUAAUUAUAUUUAUCAGAGUUCGUAACUUACUCUGCUUUUUUGUUUAGGUAAUUUCACUGAUCUUG